AAUGGAGGCAACUCUGAUCCAGCCAUGCCGCGUGUAGGAAGACUGCCUAUGGGUUGUAAACUACUUUUAUAUGGGAAGAAAAGAUCUACGUGUAGAUUGAUGACGGUACCAUAAGAAUAAGCACCGGCUAACUCCGUGCCAGCAGCCGCGGUAAUACGGAGGGUGCAAGCGUUAUCCGGAAUCAUUGGGUUUAAAGGGUCCGUAGGCGGGCAUAUAAGUCAGUGGUGAAAGUCUGUGGCUUAACCAUAGAAUUGCCAUUGAUACUGUAUGUCUUGAAUUAUUGUGAAGUGGUUAGAAUAUGUAGUGUAGCGGUGAAAUGCUUAGAGAUUACAUAGAAUACCGAUUGCGAAGGCAGAUCACUAACUAUAUAUUGACGCUGAUGGACGAAAGCGUAGGUAGCGAACAGGAUU
rnacentral:rRNA from 1 species